rnacentral:lncRNA from 1 species
CAGCUCCCUCACUACAAAGAAAUUAUACCUUCGUGCUAUUCUUUCCUCUCUUGAGGCGCAUUAAGGGAAAUGGUCUCUUCCCAAGGUGAAGUUUCUUGAAAAAUGUUAGGACAGUUUUCAAUAGGUUAAAGAGGCAAUAGAAUGUACAACAACCAUACUUGGGUGAUGGUUCGCAAAGGUGGAGAUUGUCGUAGUUUGCUCGUCAUUCUGGAUUGAAGUUUUGAAGUAGGAAAAACAACUGGAAUAUGAGGACCGGCCCUUAAUACUGAGAGUGUGGUUUUUGGAGCAGCAACAAGGCAGCCAGUCAGAGUAGUUGACCAACCAGUCACAAUUUGUUGCAAAUCGAGUGACUAGUACCUAGCUGACCGAUCGAUUAUCAAUUUUCCCGCUUUGUCUAUUAUUUUUGAGACUUUUAGUUCGCUACUUCAGGUCUAAUUGUAACCUAAGUACUAUAAGUAGGAUUUCAUGAGGGUUCAAUAAAGUUGACGAGAGUGCAAGAGAGGCACCAAAAGAUUGAGUAAGGGUGAGAAAAAAUAGAGAACUAGGGUUUUGCAUAGGGGCUAAGGGAGUUUGAUUGUAAAUCAAAGUUAUUCAUAUUAUUCUAGUGAAAUGAGAGAUCACUAGAGAGUCCAUAAAACACAUAAUCAAACAUCUAUAGAUUCUUGUGUUUUACCGAAUUACUUGUGUCUUCAUCUUAGCUUUGUAUCUUUUAGCUCCCACACACACACACACACACACAACCCCCUUCUACUGAGGACUUGCCACGUAUUCUUUCAAUCAAGAAAGAGAGAAAAUGUGGGAGACAAAAAAAAGAAUAUUAAGUAAUUGAAAUAACAAAGGAAGCAUAC